UCAAUGGUUUGGUUCUAUUCAUUUUUUUUUCUGCUAUACACAUACUUCAUAGAAGCACUCAUUUAUAUGUCCAAGUAUAUAAUGCACAUUCAUAAACAAUGCAAACAGAAGAACAUGUAAAAAUAUAUAA
rnacentral:pre_miRNA from 1 species